GACUGGGAGAUGAUGAGUGAGCUUCCUUUCAGCAAAGAGAUUAUGAAGGAGCCUUUACCAAAAAAGUUUAAAAUGCCCUAAUUCGAGCUCUACAAUGGUACCUCAUAUCCGAUAGACCACUUGCAGAGUUUUCAGGCUCUUAUAUUGCUGCAAGAGGCUACCAAUGCAAUAAUAUGCUAAGGUUAACUCUAUUUACAUCACGUGUCAAUGCACACAUUGCGCUUACUACAUGGGCCUUAACCUCAUCUUCCCCUCCUCUAUUUAUAGCAUCUUGUUCAACUCUUUUCGUCGGACUAAUGGGUGAGGUGAGGAGGCGAGGAGCCAAUGAAGGCCAAAUGGGGUGGAGGGUUCAGACCGAGAGGCGAGGAGACGAGAGGAUGAGUGGCUUGCUGGGGUGGGGGAUUGAGACAAAGAGGCGCCAACCCUAAGUGCUACUCCUUUCCUUAAUCAACCAAUGAACUGAAUCGGGCUAAGAAAUGUUAGGGUUAGCGUUUUAAGGAAUAUGUAAUAUAUUAUAUGUCGUAACCGGGCUCAA
rnacentral:lncRNA from 1 species